AGGAAUUGGCUAAAUCUCAUUUUACUGGAUGUCCGCUGAAGCAUGAUCACAAGACAUCCAGCAUGACGGAUGAGUACUUCCUCAGGCAUGAAUCAUGGCAGACCAGGAAAAGACAAUGAUUUACUACUUUGAAGGGCAGGCGUGUAUGUGAUUAAAGGAUAUAAGUGCAGGACUCCAAGAUUUACUUCCUUCCUGCUCCAUCCAGCAGGGAUACCUGAGACAAAAUCCAUCUGCUGAAGGAAACUAUUCCAUUGUCUUCUCUAGAAGAAAAACUUAUGAAGAAAAUGUUAUGAAGGAGUGCAAAUGAGAGAUAAGAUCUGUCAAAUGGCAAUGGAGCUAUCGAGGCCAAGUGUGACUGCCAGGAAGGAGCUGGGAGCAGCCAAAGAGGCUGAGCAUGUCAGACUUCUCUCCCAGCCCGCCACACACACUUAAAACCUAAAGGAAAUAAGCAGGGAUCAAUGGGAGGAAGGGAGCCAACCAGGUAAAGGGGAAGGUUCCAGUGAAGAUGGCUGUGUGAAAGUUCAUAGAGGAACUUAGCUCACCUACUUUUAUCCCAACAUUGAUCUAUAAAGAGUACCAGAUUGAACAAUGACCAAAAAAUCUAAACAUAUUCAUCAGGAAGUUCCUUCAUUCAGCUCAGGGAUACACAGAAAGACUGCCAGAGAAACGAACAUAAACACAGGUAAACAGAACAAAAGCCCUUGCUAGUGCCCUGAACAAAGAAGUCCAAGGCUAUACCCUGACUGAAAAAGCCCUAAGAAGGAUGGAAGCCAGUGGAAGCACUCCUACAGAGAACCCACAGGGAUGAUAGAAAGACACAGGCAGUGCCUUGAUUGGUGACAGUCAACAACAGAACCCUGAAGAAGGAAAUUGAAUCCUGUCAACAUUUUGAGCAUAAACACAUUAUGGGAAAGUGGAAGUCAGUGGCAAGAAUUCAGAAAAGCAAGGUCAGAACCAACCAGUGUAGGAUUAUUCCAUCCAAGAAGCUUUGAAGGGUUGUAUCUGACUCUAAAACAAUUUUCUAAUUCUGCAAGUGAGGCUGGAGACAUGACUAAAUAGAAAAAGAGAUUGAACAACAGGAAGAAAUAUUGUGGGUCAAGAGCUGCCCAGAAUAAAAUAAUAAUGCCAUCAAAAUUUCAAAUGGGGUUUCAGAGGGUGAAAAAAAAAUGAUAGCCACAAGGACUACAAGGAAAAGAGUUCUGGAGGAAUGAAUUGGAAUGAGAAUAAAUAUUUUACAAUGCUAGGUAGAAAACCUUACCCAAAUAAUGGAAUCUCAGAAAAUGGGAAUGAAAUAACCAGAACUUAAAGACUACACAAAAUAAUGAGAAAUAUUAGAAAAUCAAAAGAUUAAAAAAGAAGAAAAUAAAGUAUCUACUACCAAAAAAAAUUGACCUGGAAAUUAGACUUCAAGGAAAGUCAACUUAAGAAUUAUUGCAAUCCCUGAAAACUUGUGACCCAAAAAUAUCAGCCUUGAUAUCAUAUUUUCAGAAAUCAAACUAAAAUUGCUCAUGCUUUAUAAAUGAAUGAUAGAUAAAAUGGAAUAAAGUCAAGAAAAUCUCUGACUUCAAAAUGUUCUAAAGUUCUACCAGGAUUAUGCCAAAUUCCAUAGAACACAGCAUUUUCCAGUUGGAAGGAACCUUAGUGGCUAUCUAUAGUAGUUCAACCCAUACAUGAAAGGAGUUCCCCCAGCACAUAACAGACACAAGUGGUCAUCCAGUUUAUGCUUGAUGAUCUCUAAGGAGGAAAACCCUUCUACCCACCAGUGCAUCUGGUUUUACUGUUAUAUAAACCCAUUUCUUAGAAAGUAUUUUUUCCUGUAUCAAACUGAUAUUUGCCUUUUUGCAACUUCUCUUCAUUGUUAUUGGUUCAGCUCUCUGAGGCUAAAUGGAUUAAUAUAUGCAACAUAAUCUCAGAAGUCAAAUAACUGGGAAAGGCUUCUAUAGAGUAGAAUUUUGGAGGAAGCUAAGGAUUAUGAGAUGUAGAAAUAAGAAAAUAUAAGGGCACAUAGUUGGAAGAUGGAGUGCCCAGUUCCAAAAUUAACAAUUAUGCUGGCGGGAUUGUAGAGUGGGUAAAAGGGAAUAGGUUGAAAUGUCUAGGAAGUGAACUGAAACUAGGCUGUGAGAGAAUUUAGAUGGCAAAAUGAGGCAUUGGUGUUUUAUCCUAGAGGCAAUAGAAUGCCAAUGAGCAGGGAAGUGACAUGAUUAGGAAGAUUAUUUUGACAGCUAUGUGGAAUAUGGAUUGGAGAAGAGAGAAUAAAAGCUGAGAGUCCAAUUAAAAGGCUAGUGCAAUGGUCCAGGCAAGAAGCAAUGAGGUAUGAACAAGAAUGGUGACUGCAUGAGAAGAAAGAAGGGGUCAAAUGUGAAUGUUGUGGAAGUAAAAUUGAAACAGCACUUGAAUGGAUAUGGGAGAUGAGAAAGAUUGAAGAGUUGAGGAUGACUCUGAGUUUGUGAACCUGAAUGACAGAAGGAAAGUGGUACCCUCAACAGACACAGAAGGGCAUUUUCAGAAAGAAUGGCCUUGUGGGGAAAAUAGAAGUUCUGUUUAUGAUUUGUUGAGUUUAAGAUCUUCAUGGGGCAACAAGUAAUUUGAAAUGUCCAACAGGCAGCUGGUAAUGUGGGACGGAAUUCAGGAAAGUGAUUAGGACUGGAUUAUAUAGAUUUUGGAGUCAUCUGCAUAGAAAUGAUAAUUUAAACAUUGGGAGCUGAUGAGGUCACUAAAAUAAAGAAAGGAGAGAGAAAGAAGAGGGCCAAGACAGAAACACAGGGGGCAUUCAUUGUUAGGGGUCAUGAUAUAAAUGAUUCAGCAAAGGAGACUGAGAAGUAGUCAAAAAGGUAAGAGGGGAAAUAGACAAAAAUAUUAUUAAAAUAAACCUAGAGAGGACAUAGUAUUAGGGAGGAAAACAAAGUUUAAGAAUGUCAAAUGCUUCAACUUUUGAUCUAGGACGAUUUGGACAGAGGAAAAAAACCCAAAGGAUUUAAAAAUGGCUUAUCUGUUCAUUAAAUAAAGCAAAUCGUACAGGAAGAAAUAUUGCUAAAAUUUUUUAGUUGCUGCAUACAAUGAUGUAAAAAAUAGGCUAUGUUUCAUCACCCUGGCCUUCCCUCUAAUUAAUCCAAAUUAAAUGAAAUUUUACUGUACUGAAAAACAACCAGCAAUUCCUGUUCUCUUUGGCAAUGAAUGUGUCAAUUAUGCAUCUAUGUUGGUUAUGUGUUAAUGCUGCCUG